AACAACACCUUGUAUAAAUUCGCCUUUUACUUAAAUUUUGUUUGAAUAAAUCGAGUAAAAGGUCUUAAAUUCCCAUUCUGCGUUGUUGACUAAUUUCACUAUUAAACGAAUUUAAGCGCAAAUGGAAACAGAAGAGAAAGCAAAACGAAGCACAAUUAAUAAAAGGCACGAAAAGAAAAACUAAACUAAAGUUCGUCAAUUGUCAAAAAAUUAAGAACAAAAUGACACGACACAUAAGAGAAUAGAAUAGAGCAGGCAAGGAAAAACCAAUUGGAAAUAAUCAACAAGAAUUCUGAACGAAAGACAUGGUUCAUGAAUUCUAAGGAAAAGCUGCAUACAAACAAGUGUCACCAAUGAGCCAAAAGAUGUUAAUGCUGAUUCAUUGCAGAACUGCAGCUGCCGAACCCUGUAUAAAACGCAGCACCCCUUCAAAAAUUGCCACAAAAUUUCUACAGCCAGAUAACUUCGCUGUAAUAUAACUUGACGGUUAAUUUACAGGAUUGGCUAUGUAUAUUCGUAUUGAUUACAAAAAAAAUAUUCACUAAUAAAAUUAAGCUUUCUUUGCUCUGCUUUUUUACCGUUUCUUGCA